rnacentral:rRNA from 1 species
GACGGGGGGGGGGGGCAAGUGUUCUUCGGAAUGACUGAGCGUAAAGGGCACGUAGGCAGUGAAUCGGGUUGAAAGCGAAAAGUCGCCAAAAAAGUGGCGGAAUGCUCUCGAAACCAAUUCACUUGAGUGAGACAGAGGAGAGUGGAAUUUCGUGUGUAGGGGGUGAAAUCCGUAGAUCUACGAAGGAACGCCAAAAAGCGAAGGCAGCUCUCUGGGUCCCUACCGACGCUGGGGUGCGAAAGCAUGGGGAGCGAACAGG